rnacentral:rRNA from 1 species
GACGAACGCUGGCGGCGUGCCUAAUACAUGCAAGUCGAACGCACUCUCGUUUAGAUUGAAGGAGCUUGCUCCUGAUUGAUAAACAUUUGAGUGAGUGGCGGACGGGUGAGUAACACGUGGGUAACCUGCCCUAAAGUGGGGGAUAACAUUUGGAAACAGAUGCUAAUACCGCAUAAAACCUAAACACCGCAUGGUGUAGGGUUGAAAGAUGGUUUCGGCUAUCACUUUAGGAUGGACCCGCGGUGCAUUAGUUAGUUGGUGAGGUAAAGGCUCACCAAGACCGUGAUGCAUAGCCGACCUGAGAGGGUAAUCGGCCACACUGGGACUGAGACACGGCCCAGACUCCUACGGGAGGCAGCAGUAGGGAAUCUUCCACAAUGGACGAAAGUCUGAUGGAGCAACGCGCGUGAGUGAAGAAGGUUUCGGAUCGUAAAACUCUAGUUGUUGGAGAAGAAUGUAUCUGAUAGUAACUGAUCAGGUAGU